GUAACACGGAUGCAACCUGCCCUCCGCAGGGGGAUAACCCGGAGAAAUCCGGACUAAUACCGCGUGGUACAUCUGUGGGGCAUCCCACGGGUGUUAAAAGGAAGCGAUUCCGGCGGAGGAUGGGCAUGCGGCGCAUUAGCUUGUUGGCGGGGUAACGGCCCACCAAGGCGACGAUGCGUAGGGGUUCUGAGAGGAAGGUCCCCCACACUGGUACUGAGACACGGACCAGACUCCUACGGGAGGCAGCAGUGAGGAAUAUUGGUCAAUGGGCGGGAGCCUGAACCAGCCAAGUCGCGUGAGGGAAGACGGUCCUAUGGAUUGUAAACCUCUUUAGGCGGGGAGCAAUGCCGGGCACGCGUGCCCGGAGGGAGAGUACCCGCAGAAUAAGCAUCGGCUAACUCCGUGCCAGCAGCCGCGGUAAUACGGAGGAUGCGAGCGUUAUCCGGAUUUAUUGGGUUUAAAGGGUGCGUAGGCGGAUUUUUAAGUCAGCGGUAAAAUGUCCGGGCUCAACCCGGGCCGGCCGUUGAAACUGGGGAUCUUGAGUGGGCGAGAAGUAUGCGGAAUGCGUGGUGUAGCGGUGAAAUGCAUAGAUAUCACGCAGAACUCCGAUUGCGAAGGCAGCAUACCGGCGCCCGACUGACGCUGAGGCACGAAAGCGUGGGGAUCGAACAGGAUUAGAUACCCUGGUAGUCCACGC
rnacentral:rRNA from 1 species